UACACCAUGACUUAAGAUUAGAUUCAAGGAGACCUAUUAAGAAUAGAAUUUCUUGUAGGCUUUAUGAACCAAGGGGAUUAGCGCUGCUUUCCCAAGACGAGUUUAUGUGAUUAUGAUCUUCAGGCUUUGCCUAUCCAGGUUGGCUGGCCGGUGCUGACGGGACUGAGCUGAGGCCAGGGUUCAAUUUCUAUAUAGACUUCCGCUGUAGUAAUAACUCUUAUACAUCUUUUGUUUUCUCAACUUAAGAUGAUUUCAUGUUGAGCUUCAAUUUAAAAUUUCUAGUUUUAUGUUAAUGAACGUCGGUUGUCAGAAACAUGAAACAAAACUUGUGAUCCAAAGGGGCUUAGCCCGACUCGUUAUCUUAUUAUUCGGGUUUUAACAAGGUUGUUCCUUGUUUAUUUCUAUGAAUUAGUUGCACCUCGAUUAUAUUUAUUCAUUCAAGAAUUGGG